AGGGAAACCGAGUCUUAACUGGGCGUUAAGUUGCAGGGUAUAGACCCGAAACCCGGUGAUCUAGCCAUGGGCAGGUUGAAGGUUGGGUAACACUAACUGGAGGACCGAACCGACUAAUGUUGAAAAAUUAGCGGAUGACUUGUGGCUGGGGGUGAAAGGCCAAUCAAACCGGGAGAUAGCUGGUUCUCCCCGAAAGCUAUUUAGGUAGCGCCUCGUGAACUCAUCUUCGGGGGUAGAGCACUGUUUCGGCUAGGGGGUCAUCCCGACUUACCAACCCGAUGCAAACUACGAAUACCGAAGAAUGUUAUCACGGGAGACACACGGCGGGUGCUAACGUCCGUCGUGAAGAGGGAAACAACCCAGACCGCCAGCUAAGGUCCCAAAGUCACAGUUAAGUGGGAAACGAUGUGGGAAGGCACAGACAGCCAGGAUGUUGGCUUAGAAGCAGCCAUCAUUUAAAGAAAGCGUAAUAGCUCACUGGUCGAGUCGGCCUGCGCGGAAGAUGUAACGGGGCUAAACUGUGCACCGAAGCUGCGGCAGCGACACUAUGUGUUGUUGGGUAGGGGAGCGUUCUGUAAGCCUGCGAAGGUGGCCUGUGAGGGUUGCUGGAGGUAUCAGAAGUGCGAAUGCUGACAUAAGUAACGAUAAUGCGGGUGAAAAGCCCGCACGCCGGAAGACCAAGGGUUCCUGUCCAACGUUAAUCGGGGCAGGGUGAGUCGACCCCUAAGGCGAGGCCGAAAGGCGUAGUCGAUGGGAAACAGGUUAAUAUUCCUGUACUUGGUGUUACUGCGAAGGGGGGACGGAGAAGGCUAUGUUAGCCGGGCGACGGUUGUCCCGGUUUAAGCAUGUAGGCGGAGGGUCCAGGUAAAUCCGGUACCUUUUAACGCUGAGGUGUGAUGACGAGGCACUACGGUGCUGAAGUAACAAAUGCCCUGCUUCCAGGAAAAGCCUCUAAGCAUCAGGUAACAUUAAAUCGUACCCCAAACCGACACAGGUGGUCAGGUAGAGAAUACCAAGGCGCUUGAGAGAACUCGGGUGAAGGAACUAGGCAAAAUGGUGCCGUAACUUCGGGAGAAGGCACGCUGAUAUGUAGGUGAAGCCCCUGCGGGUGGAGCUGAAAUCAGUCGAAGAUACCAGCUGGCUGCAACUGUUUAUUAAAAACACAGCACUGUGCAAACACGAAAGUGGACGUAUACGGUGUGACGCCUGCCCGGUGCCGGAAGGUUAAUUGAUGGGGUUAUCCGUAAGGAGAAGCUCUUGAUCGAAGCCCCGGUAAACGGCGGCCGUAACUAUAACGGUCCUAAGGUAGCGAAAUUCCUUGUCGGGUAAGUUCCGACCUGCACGAAUGG
rnacentral:rRNA from 1 species